UAAUCUAGAGUGGACAUUGCCAGUGCAU
rnacentral:piRNA from 1 species